GCUUGCAUCUCUGAUACUUAGCGGCGGACGGGUGAGUAACACGUGGGUAACCUGCCUAUAAGACUGGGAUAACAUUCGGAAACGAAUGCUAAUACCGGAUACGCGAUUUGGUCGCAUGACCGAAUCGGGAAAGAUGGAGCAAUCUAUCACUUAUAGAUGGACCCGCGGCGCAUUAGCUAGUUGGUGAGGUAACGGCUCACCAAGGCGACGAUGCGUAGCCGACCUGAGAGGGUGAUCGGCCACACUGGGACUGAGACACGGCCCAGACUCCUACGGGAGGCAGCAGUAGGGAAUCUUCCGCAAUGGACGAAAGUCUGACGGAGCAACGCCGCGUGAGUGAUGAAGGUUUUCGGAUCGUAAAGCUCUGUUGCCAGGGAAGAAUGCUUGGGAGAGUAACUGCUCCCAAGGUGACGGUACCUGAGAAGAAAGCCCCGGCUAACUACGUGCC
rnacentral:rRNA from 1 species